rnacentral:rRNA from 1 species
AUUGAACGCUGGCGGCAGGCCUAACACAUGCAAGUCGAACGAGUGGCGGACGGGUGAGUAAUGUCUGGGAAACUGCCUGAUGGAGGGGGAUAACUACUGGAAACGGUAGCUAAUACCGCAUACCAUCAGAUGUGCCCAGAUGGGAUUAGCUAGUGGGUGGGGUAACGGCUCACCAAGGCGACGAUCCCUAGCUGGUCUGAGAGGAUGAUCAGCACAACUGGAACUGAGACACGGUCCAGACUCCGACGGGAGGCAGCAGUGGGAGAUAUUGGACAAUGGGCACAAGCCUGAUACAGCCAUUCCGCGUGUGUGAAGAAGGUCUUCGGAUUGUAAAGCACUUUAAGCUGGGAGGCGUUAACAACAGAAUAAGCACCGGCUAACUUCGUGCCAGCAGCCGCGGUAAUAC